rnacentral:lncRNA from 1 species
GGUUUUUUUUCGUUUUGUUUUGUUUUUUGUUUUGGAACAAGGUCUAUGUGCAUUAAGAUGUCGGAACCUCUGAGCUUUAGGGUGGGAAAAAAACCCCUCAGGUUUUCAUGAUACGGUCCUUGCCUCCCUUCUAGCCCUAUGUCUUGAACAUCAACUAGUCUUAUUACACUUUAAAUCCCACUGAGCUACUCAUUUCUCCUUGGUACUAUCAAAGCCACUUAGACACACUUCCACGAACAAGCACUUUCACUUUUAAUUGUCUGGCUCCCCACUAGUUUUUGAGCCUCUUUAAGGUCUGGGCUAUAUCUUAUUCAUCUCAAUAUGUCUAGCAUAAGGAGAUGAAUAAAUAUUGGUUAACUAAAUGUGCUGGUUUAUUUAAAAAACUAAUCUUAUGACUCUUUUUUGUCUUGGGCACAUAGCUGCAGACUUUCUCACAGAACAUCACUACAGUGUUACAUUUCUAAUGUGGAUAUUAUAAUAAAGUUGGCAGUGGGCAUGUUCAUGUAAGAACUAUUUUAAUGGCUGAAAAGUUUAACUUUAUGUCCCUGUCAUGUACAAGGACAGUGACAGGAUCCUUGGUUGGAUCAGAAAUGCAGCUUUUCCCCUGAGUUUCAGGAUGUGCAUAAAGAAGGAAAUGAUGUUUUCUUUAGCUCACGUGUGUAUGUGUGUAUGCAUGCACACACAGAGCUUAGUCCCUGGUGGGUAAUAUUCAAAAAGUACUCUGCCUCAGUGGAAGAAGUACAGACUUAAAGAUCAAAGUAUUACACACAGAGCACAACAACCUGGCCAAAACUCUAGUUCCUUCUUUGUUGGGGAUCAUCAAAUGGUUGUUUUUAACAUGGUUAAAACAUACUUUUCAAGUGUUUGUUUGAAAACAUUUAUUUAGUCUUUCAGACAUUCUCAGAGCUAUUCCUUGGUUGAUAAAACCACUUCCUGCUAGUCUGAGAUUGGAAUGUUUUGAGCAGGGGAAGAAAGGCAUAAAAUUAGGAUGAAAAAGAACAGGGGCCAGAUCACGUAGGGCCAUUUAGGCUUUUAAAGAUUACAGAGUUUAUCCUAAGAGGAGUGGGAAGCCACUGAAGGAUUUUAAACAGGGGAAAUGCCAAACGCCAUGAUCCAAUUUGCAUUUUAAAAAGACAACACUGACCAAAAAACAUGAAAUACUUAGGCUUAAGUCUAACAAAAUAUGUGCAAGACGCACAAUCUCUAUGCAGAAAACUACAAAACGCUGAUAAAAAGUAUCAAAGUCUUAACAUAAAUGGAGAGAGAUACCAAGUUCUCUCAGUACUCUUAAGGUGCCAAUUUUCCCCAAAUUGCUCUGUAGAUUCAACAUAAUUCUAAAAAAAAUCCAAGCAGGAAGUUUUUGUAGAAAUCAACAAGCUAAUUCUAAAAUUUAUUCAGAAAGGCAAAGGAACUAGAUUAGCCAAAGCAAUUUCAAAAAAGAACAAAGUUGGAGGACUCACAUUACCUGAUUUCAAGACUUAGCAUAAAGCUACAGUAAUCCUGACAAUGGGUUAUUGGCCAAGGAUAGAAAAAUAAAUGGGAGAAUGGGGCCAGCAAAUACCAGCUCAUAGGCCAAAUCUAGCCUGUCGCCUGCUUUUAGAUGUCCCUAAGCUAAUGGUGCUUUUAAAAAUUUUAAAUGAUUGAAAAAUUCAAGAGAAUGGUAUUUUGUGACAAGUGAAGAUUAUACGAAAUCCCAAAUAGAGUGCCCAUAAAUAAAGCUCUACUGGAACAUAGCCAGGCUCAUUUGUUUCCAUAUUGUCUCUGGUGGCUUUGUGCUAUGAUGCAGAGUUGAGCAGUUCUGACAGACUGCAUGUGGCGCUCUCAUCAUUUUGCAGGGCUUUUUAAGCACUCGACAAACUGGGGCGUUUCUACUGCUACAUGUAUCACCCAUGCGAAAAGAUAUUUUUCAGAGAUAAAAAUAUGUCAAGUUUCACUACACAUAUGCAUUAAUAAAUGAAAUCUGUAAUCACAUUUGAUGAGAGGAAACACUAACUUAGCACCCUAGUUAAGCAAAAUGUUAUCCCUCUCCCAGAAAAGAAUUCCAUUCUUUGGAUUAGUAGAGCUGCAUUUCAGAAAAUUGUACUUAAUUAUUAUACUUUAAAUUUUAUUUAAAAAAUUCUCAGAAAUAUGUUUUAUCUUAUUAUACAAGUACUUACACAGUAUCUUCAAUUUUGCCUUUUGGUCUGUAAAACCUAAAAUAUUUACGAUCUAGUUCUUUACAGAAAAAUUCUGCUGACCCCUGACAUAGAUCAAAACAGACACAGAACAAGGAGAGUCCAGAAAUAGGACUGUGCAAACACAGGCAACUGAUAUUUGCCUACAGCAAUGAAAAUUCUUUUCAACAAAUGUGCUAAACAAUUAGAUAUUCAUAAGCAACAAAGAAACUUCAUUCAUACCACACACCUCAUACACAAAAAUUAACUCAAAAUGGAUCAUAGAUCUAAGUAUAAAAUGCAAAGCUAUAAUACUUUUAGGAGGAAAAAAAUGGGAGAAAAUCUUUGUGACCCUGAGUUAGGCUGAGUUCUCAGAUCAACACAAAAAGCCUGAUCCAUUUAAAAAGACAAUUUGGAUUUUAUUAAGAUUAAAAAUGUUUGCUCUGACAAAGAUACUGAUAAAAGAAUGAAGACAAGCUACAGAUGAAGAAUUUUUGCAAGUAAAUAUCUGACAAAGGACUUUGUAUCCUGAAUAUAUGAAGAACUUCCAAAAUUCAAUGAAAGAAAACAAAUCUGAUGUUUUUUCUUAAAGGCAAAAAGUUUGAGCAGAGAUAUAUGGAUUGCAUAUAAACUUGUGAAAGGAGCUAAAUAUCCUUAGUCAUACAGAAAUGCACAUUGAAACUACACUGAGCUACCACUAUGCCUCCCCUAGAAUGGUUACAGUUAAAGCAAAAAUGAAAAGCGAUGCUAGGGAGAAUGUGGUAACAAGUGAAAUUCACAUGGCACUGAUGGGAAUGUAGAUGGCACAGCCCCUCUGGAAAAGAGUUUGGUAGUUUCUUAUAAAGUUAAAUGUAAGCUUUCCAUGGGGCCCAGCAGUCUUACCCCUAGAUAUUUACCCAAGAUAAAUGAAAAGUUAUAUUUACACUAAAGCAUGUACACAAAGGUUUAUAGGCAAAAACUGGAAUAAUCCAAAUGUACGGUGGUGGUUAGAUGACUACAUCCAUUUGUCAAAAUUCAUUGAAUUUGACACUAAAAAAAGAUUUAUUACUGUACAUAAAUCAAACCUCAAUAACAUAUGACUCAAAAAACAAGACAGCUUUGGUUGUUAUAUGGAAAAUAAAUUGGGGGAAACACGACAGGAAUCCAGGAGGCUGUUCAAAGGGCCACUGUGAGCAAAAUAAGAUAUGAUGAGGACCUGGAUUAGGAUGGGGCAUCAGGGAAGCCAGAGAAACGUAGAUGCAUGAAUGAUUAGAUUC